rnacentral:rRNA from 1 species
UACGUAGGGUGCGAGCGUUGUCCGGAAUUACUGGGCGUAAAGAGCUCGUAGGUGGUUUGUCGCGUUGUUCGUGAAAACCGGGGGCUUAACCCUCGGCGUGCGGGCGAUACGGGCAGACUUGAGUACUGCAGGGGAGACUGGAAUUCCUGGUGUAGCGGUGGAAUGCGCAGAUAUCAGGAAGAACACCAACGGCGAAGGCAGCUCGCUGGGACGGUACUGACGCUGAGACGCGAAAGCGUGGGGAGCGAACAGG